UUCGUAGUGACCUGCGGAGGNCAUUAUUG
rnacentral:rRNA from 1 species